rnacentral:ncRNA from 1 species
GCAGAAAAAGCCAAACUCGUCGUGAGACGGGGGCGGAAAGCCAUGGGUCUUCAAGCAGAAGACAGCCGGGUUGCCUCCA